UGUAAGUGUUUAAUUGAUCCUAAUUUGGAGGAAGAGUGAAGAUGUCCAUUGAAGCUUUAUUCAUGUUCUUAUGGCUGCAGCUAGACUGGGUCAGCCAAGGAGAGAAUGUGGAGCAGCGUCCUACUCUGAGUGUCCAGGAGGGAAACAGCUGUGUUAUCAACUGUACUUAUUCAGACAGUUACUCAAACUACUUCCUUUGGUAUAAGCAAGAAAGUGGAAAAAGUCCCCAGCUCAUUAUAGACAUUCGUUCAAAUGUGGACAAAAAGGAAGAGCAAAGACUCACCGUUUUAUUGAAUAAGACGGCCAAACGCCUCUCCCUGCACAUCGCAGCCACCCAAGCUGGAGACUCAGCUGUCUACUUCUGUGUAGCGAGUACACAUUGCUUCCCAGGCACCUGCAACCUGUACUUAAACCUGCAACUGGGGCAGCUCCCUUUCCUUUGGGACAGACCUUCAAUUAUAGCAUUUGUCAUUUCAUUUGUCUGCAAGUGGAAACUAAUGUAUUAGACAUUAAAAGCAUAUAAUAAGAAGGUUAGGUUCAAGAUGACCCAGAAAGGGCCAUAAGAUUUUGUUGGAUGACUGUUGCUAAAUGGAUCCUUUA